AUACGUAGGGCGCGAGCGUUGUCCGGAAUUAUUGGGCGUAAAGAGCUCGUAGGCGGCUUGUCACGUCGGUUGUGAAAGCCCGGGGCUUAACCCCGGGUCUGCAGUCGAUACGGGCAGGCUAGAGUUCGGUAGGGGAGAUCGGAAUUCCUGGUGUAGCGGUGAAAUGCGCAGAUAUCAGGAGGAACACCGGUGGCGAAGGCGGAUCUCUGGGCCGAUACUGACGCUGAGGAGCGAAAGCGUGGGGAGCGAACAGGAUUAGAUACCCUGGUAGUCCACGCCGUAAACGGUGGGCACUAGGUGUGGGCAACAUUCCACGUUGUCCGUGCCGCAGCUAACGCAUUAAGUGCCCCGCCUGGGGAGUACGGCCGCAAGGCUAAAACUCAAACGGAAUUGACGGGGGCCCGCACAAGCGGC
rnacentral:ncRNA from 1 species